GGGAGUAAAAGUCGUAACAAGGUCUCCGUAGGUGAACCUGCGGAGGGAUCAUUACAGAGUUCAUGCCCUACCGGGUAGAUCUCCCACCCUAUGUUAUUAUUACUUUGUUGCUUUGGCGGGCCGUUAGGCUCCGGCCCGACUACCGGCCCCGGCUGGUAAGCGCCCGCCAGAGGACCCAAAACCCUGAAUAUUAGUGUCGUCUGAGUACUAUAUAAUAGUUAAAACUUUCAACAACGGAUCUCUUGGUUCUG
rnacentral:misc_RNA from 1 species